GGCCCCUGCGCAGAGAAGGAGAAACUGAGGAGUGCUGUGAUGCUGCCACUCCCCCCUCCAGCCAUUCACUCUCCCUGCACACCCCCCCUCGUCCCCCCCACUCUCCUAGCCUCCUUGUCUGCUUCCUUUCAUCUCCUCCUCCUCUCGCUCGCUGACCGACGGUGGAAGGAUGGUCAUGUGAUCUUCUAAUCCCCUGGGAUUUUCUGUUUUUUUUCCGGGCAUGCUCUGUGGCCGCCUCCCCUCCCUCUCCUCCCUCUCCUCCCUCUCUCCUCAUGAGUGAGGAGAGCUCAGCUUUUAUUGUUCUGCAUCCAGCCGCCUGCGUGCUCUGCUUCCCUUCCUGGAGGAUCUAUUGUUAGCUGCAGUGACAUUAACAGCUGAAUGGUGUGUUGGAGCCCUGCCUUCACACACACACUCACACACACACUCAUGAGAGGAUGCACAGUCUGGAAUACAUGUGCACGGAUGUGGCGGAGUUCCUACAUGUGAUGGAGCGGUCCAUUCUUUCCUUGUCCCGGCAUGUUGUAGACAGCCGCCUGUAACGGGAAGACUCCAGAGUGAAGCACGCCAUAAAGAGGAGUAGAGGGGAGAAGGAAGUGAAGGAAAGGAUGGUGAAAGAAGUCAACAUGACCCGAGUGGACCAGCUGGACCAGCAGUGAGUCCGUUCCAGCUGGAGGAGCCGGCACCGAAACACUCCUACCUACACGACUGCGACCGGGACAUGAAUGGAAGAGUGAACACUGGUGCAGACAGAAUCUCACAGUCCAACAGUACCACCAUGGUGUCAGACCUGUCUUCAGAUGCCCCCAAGCUAACGCCGCGGGUAAGAACAUACACAGAAGCACAAAUAUUUAGACAGGGAGAAGGAGUCAGUCACACACACACGGACAGUCUUGUUUGUGAAGUUGCACCAGAAAAAAAAAAAAACAAAAUACAAGAAAGACCGGACUAUUGUAUGUACAGUUACAGUACCUUCUCACAGAGGUCUAUGUUCAGGAGGUGAGUCCAGUGUUUUGAGUUCAUUCUGGGAUUUAAAAAUCUAUCUAUCCAUAUAUCUAUCUAUCUAUCAACUA